rnacentral:rRNA from 1 species
GAUGAACGCUGACAGAAUGCUUAACACAUGCAAGUCAACUUGAAUUUGGGUUUUUAACUUAGAUUUGGGUGGCGGACGGGUGAGUAACGCGUAAAGAACUUGCCUCACAGCUAGGGACAACAUUUAGAAAUGAAUGCUAAUACCUGAUAUUAUGAUUUUAAGGCAUCUUAGAAUUAUGAAAGCUAUAAGCACUGUGAGAGAGCUUUGCGUCCCAUUAGCUAGUUGGAGAGGUAACAGCUCACCAAGGCGAUGAUGGGUAGCCGGCCUGAGAGGGUGAACGGCCACAAGGGGACUGAGACACGGCCCUUACUCCUACGGGAGGCAGCAGUGGGGAAUAUUGGACAAUGGACCGAGAGUCUGAUCCAGCAAUUCUGUGUGCACGAUGAAGUUUUUCGGAAUGUAAAGUGCUUUCAGUUGGGAAGAAAGAAAUGACGGUACCAACAGAAGAAGUGACGGCUAAAUACGUGCCAGCAGCCGCGGUAAUACGUAUGUCGCAAGCGUUAUCCGGAAUUAUUGGGCAUAAAGGGCAUCUAGGCGGCCAGAUAAGUCUGGGGUGAAAACUUGCGGCUCAACCGCAAGCCUGCCCUGGAAACUAUGUGGCUAGAGUACUGGAGAGGUGGACGGAACUGCACGAGUAGAGGUGAAAUUCGUAGAUAUGUGCAGGAAUGCCGAUGAUGAAGAUAGUUCACUGGACGGUAACUGACGCUGAAGUGCGAAAGCUAGGGGAGCAAACAGG